GACGAACGCUGGCGGCGUGCUUAACACAUGCAAGUCGAACGGAAAGGCCCUGCUUUUGUGGGGUGCUCGAGUGGCGAACGGGUGAGUAACACGUGAGUAACCUGCCCUUGACUUUGGGAUAACUUCAGGAAACUGGGGCUAAUACCGGAUAGGAGCUCCUGCUGCAUGGUGGGGGUUGGAAAGUUUCGGCGGUUGGGGAUGGACUCGCGGCUUAUCAGCUUGUUGGUGGGGUAGUGGCUUACCAAGGCUUUGACGGGUAGCCGGCCUGAGAGGGUGACCGGCCACAUUGGGACUGAGAUACGGCCCAGACUCCUACGGGAGGCAGCAGUGGGGAAUAUUGCACAAUGGGCGGAAGCCUGAUGCAGCAACGCCGCGUGCGGGAUGACGGCCUUCGGGUUGUAAACCGCUUUCGCCUGUGACGAAGCGUGAGUGACGGUAAUGGGUAAAGAAGCACCGGCUAACUACGUGCCAGCAGCCGCGGUGAUACGUAGGGUGCGAGCGUUGUCCGGAUUUAUUGGGCGUAAAGGGCUCGUAGGUGGUUGAUCGCGUCGGAAGUGUAAUCUUGGGGCUUAACCCUGAGCGUGCUUUCGAUACGGGUUGACUUGAGGAAGGUAGGGGAGAAUGGAAUUCCUGGUGGAGCGGUGGAAUGCGCAGAUAUCAGGAGGAACACCAGUGGCGAAGGCGGUUCUCUGGGCCUUUCCUGACGCUGAGGAGCGAAAGCGUGGGGAGCGAACAGGCUUAGUUACCCUGGUAGUCCACGCUGUAAACGGUGGGUACUAGGUGUGGGGUCCAUUCCACGGGUUCCGUGCCGUAGCUAACGCUUUAAGUACCCCGCCUGGGGAGUACGGCCGCAAGGCUAAAACUCAAAGGAAUUGACGGGGCCCCGCACAAGCGGCGGAGCAUGCGGAUUAAUUCGAUGCAACGCGUAGAACCUUACCUGGGUUUGACAUGGAUCGGGAGUGCUCAGAGAUGGGUGUGCCUCUUUUGGGGUCGGUUCACAGGUGGUGCAUGGCUGUCGUCAGCUCGUGUCGUGAGAUGUUGGGUUAAGUCCCGCAACGAGCGCAACCCUUGUUCACUGUUGCCAGCACGUUAUGGUGGGGACUCAGUGGAGACCGCCGGGGUCAACUCGGAGGAAGGUGGGGAUGACGUCAAGUCAUCAUGCCCCUUAUGUCCAGGGCUUCACGCAUGCUACAAUGGCUGGUACAGAGAGUGGCGAGCCUGUGAGGGUGAGCGAAUCUCGGAAAGCCGGUCUCAGUUCGGAUUGGGGUCUGCAACUCGACCUCAUGAAGUCGGAGUCGCUAGUAAUCGCAGAUCAGCAACGCUGCGGUGAAUACGUUCCCGGG
rnacentral:rRNA from 1 species